CACACACACACACUUUGUAGCAUCGAAUCGACCCCUUCCACAACCAUGUGUUCAUCCAUGUCCCAGGCUAGCUCUCCACCACCUUCAUCCGUCAUGUCCAAUAGUUUGCAUCUCUCCCUCUCAUCACUCUCGGUGCUCUGGCUCGUUUCGGGCACUGUCCUCAACCCCGGGAGGAAUUUCUACAAGUGUGAUCGCCAUGUUAUUCUCGAAGAUAAUCAAGCUUUGCUGAAGAAGAUAACCAUGUUGUGCCUUGCCGAUCUGUUCACCAACUGUCUACUUCUUUUACCUUUCAAAUUCGACCUUUUCUUGAUCCAAGCCAGCAAUGCAUCAGCCGGGCUGGGACUAGAGAGGGUGGUGCUAAAUGAUGACUGCCCCACGUCUGCAGGAAUUAAGGCAUCUCCAGAACCGUGACGCGCAGUGCUGACAGACUUGCAUGUAUUCCUAUGAAUCAUAAAUGCGCUACCUAUAGAAGAAGCUGAACGGUGAAUGGGGAAAGGAGGUGUAAGAGAUGGAGAAUAACCUGCCAAAGUGCGUCGACCGUAUUGACGAGAAGAUUCAAGCCAUAAUAGAUGCUGGAGGAGUCUGUCCUCAUUGCCCGAAGCUAUUCGACAGUAAUCCAAAUCCAUGAAGAAAUAGGAAGGAUACUUGUAUACAAGAUAAAAAAGGUGCAGAGAAACAUUGGUCUGGAUCUGAAGGGUGAAGAGAGUCGAAAGCCAAAAUGCGCAGAGGAAAUCCUGAAACCUGAUCAAAGGGUUGAAGAGAGGGUAUAAGCAAAAAAGUACAGGCGCUUGUGCCUUGUUUCUGGUUCUCCGUUUUUGCGAUGUUCAUAUCAUAGGCGUACUGUACUGUUCUUGUGACUAAAAUAUAUAGUUUUGGCACUCUAUAUGUGGUUUCCUGUACAACGUAAGUAGUACUACAAAGAGAAAGCUCGGCUUUGUACCAGCUCCUGGGCUCCAACGUUGGU